GAAGCCGUCGCAGCGCCAGGCCCCAGGUAUGCAGUCGAUCUCCCCAGUGGCACACGCGAACUGGUCUGGCGAGCACGUGGGAGGCUCUGCAGAGAACAGGAACACCAUCACGCCCCGCCCCGCCGGGCCAUGCGCCGCGGUUCACUCACGGUGCGGCACCCGCGCGGUCUCCACCGCAAUGUGACCUGCCGCUGUGAAUCUUCUUUGUUGCCUUUUUUUUUUUUUUUUUUUUUUACCGUAGAGGGGAUGGGGGGUGUUCGGGAACCUGGGCUUGAAGCAGCAGGUACUACACCAAAUUGAGCAGAAAACGCUCUGGGCUGGAAACUCGACCCCGACCGCUGAGAAGCCAGGGCACAACCCCUUCGUGUGAGUCUCCAUCCCCUCACAUGCAAUUCAGGGCACUGGGCCAGGUCUCUGAGGAUGCCCACGGUACCCCCAACUGGAGCCCUGCCUUUACCCGCCUGGGGUCCCAGGCUGGGCUGCCAGUCUGCUGCACGGUGUGCACGUCCGCCUGGCCACACCUGAGUGUCCAUUGUGCGCACACACGCACACGCACGUACACAUGCACACCCCUUAGGAGAUGAAGGGUCAGAGAGCAGGUGCUCAGGACCAGCACCUGUUACAGGUCUGGGGCAGCUGCUGCAGUGGGACUGGGACUUCAUGGGACCCACGGACACAGCGGGGGCCGGUGGAGGACCUGCAGGGUACCUUGCUGAGGAGCGGGCUAAGGAGAGGCAGGGAGGCAAGAAUACCACGGUGAGGGGGUGCAAGGAGGAGUAGGAAGGCUCCCAACGGAGGGAGUCACCUGAAGAUGGGGAGCGGGGUGGGUGGAGAGGAGACCUGGGGCCACCUCCUACCAGCUGACCACGGUGAGUCGUUCCACUCCUCAGAUCCAACUUCCUCAGCACAGGCCAAGUGCAGGCCAGGACAUGGUUGGGGCGCAGGGUGGGACAGAAGGGAGAUGGACAGGUCUGGGGUUGAACCUAGCCCCCCUCGGCAACCGUACAACCAGACAACCCCCCCCAGCUCCCCGAUCUCCAUUUCCUCGUCUCUGAAACAGAAGCAGCAACGCUAGACCCACGCCCCUCACGGGACAGCAAGUGUCCCACAAGUAAUAGCAGCUGGCAUUCCCGUGUGCCACGUUGGGGACCAUGCAAAGUGCUUGUUACUUAAUGUCACAACAACUCCAAGCUUUAGGGAAAGAAGAGAAUCAAGCAUGGAAGGAGAAAGAAAAGACAAAACUACAAAAAGGAAACAGACAAGCCUGCUACUGGAGUUGCAGACUUCAGCACCCCUGCCUGACAGCUCACAGGCAGUCGGGGGGAAUACAGACGGCUUGAACAACACCAUCCGUCAACUGGAUCUAACUGAUGUCUACAGAACACUUCCCCCAAUAGGAGCAGAUGACACAUUCUUCUCAAGCUGACAUGGAACACUCACCAAGAAAGAUCACAUGCUGGGUCAUAAUAGUAAAAGGAUAGAAAUCAUAAAAAGUAUGUUCUCUGACCACAGCGGAAUUAAGUAGAAAUCAGUGACAGACUAAUAGCUGGGAAAUCCCCAAAUAUUUUGAAAUUAAACAACACACUUCUAAAUAACUCAGGGGACAAAGAAAUUGUCUUAGGAGAAAUUUUAAAACAUGUGAACAAAUUGAAGAAGAUAUAAUUUAUCAAAAUUUGUAGGAUGCAGCAAAAGCAGUACUUAGAGGGAAAUUCAUAGCCCCGAAUGCAUACCCUGGAACAGAAAGGCAGGUGAAGGGAGAGUUGGCCCUGGAGAAUGGAUGCCACAUUGAGUGUGACUUUAAAAGGAUGCUGGGCAGAGACCUGGCAGGCAGGGAAUCAAGUCCCUGUCCGGUGUCCCAAGAGAAAGUGCGGAGGUCACACCUACCACCACAGGUCAGCAGGUUCUGCAGGAGCACGAGGUGGACUGGGCAUGAGCACCGUGGUGUCCCGUCACCCUUGGCAAUGCAGAUGUGGGAGCAGCCACCGUUGUCCCGGGCACACGGGUGGGCCGCUGUGGAGACAAAAAGAGAGAGGGGGUCAGGCUCGGCCUCUCACCUCAGGA